ACUCAAAGGAAUUGACGGGGACCCGCACAAGCGGUGGAGCAUGUGGAUUAAUUCGACGCAACGCGAAGAACCUUACCAAGGCUUGACAUGUGGAUGCCCGGUAUAGAGAUAUACCUUUUACUUCGGUAACAUCCAACACAGGUGGUGCAUGGUUGUCGUCAGCUCGUGUCGUGAGAUGUUGGGUUAAGUCCCGCAACGAGCGCAACCCCUGUCCUUAGUAGCUAUCGGGUAGAGCCGGGCACUUUAAGGAGACUGCCGUGGAUAACACGGAGGAAGGUGGGGACGAUGUCAAAUCAUCAUGCCCCUUAUGUCUGGGGCCUCACACGUGCUACAAUGGCUCCUACAAAGUGAAGCGAGACUGUGAAGUGGAGCAAACCACAAAAAGGAGUCUCAGUUCGGAUUGUAGUCUGCAACCCGACUACAUGAAGUUGGAAUCGCUAGUAAUCGCGGAUCAGCACGCCGCGGUGAAUACGUUCCCGGGUCUUGUACACACCGCCCGU
rnacentral:rRNA from 1 species